rfam:Ornithorhynchus anatinus chromosome 7, whole genome shotgun sequence.
AGCAGCGUGGCUCAGUGGAAAGAGCCCGGGCUUGGGAGUCAGAGGUCGUGGGUUCGAAUCCCGGCUCUGCCA